rnacentral:rRNA from 1 species
CCCUUAGAUGUUCUGGGCUGCACGCGCGCUACACUGAUGCGAUCAACAAGUUUUUCCUAUGUCGAUAGACACGGGUAAUCUUUUGAACUCGCAUCGUGAUGGGGAUAGAUUAUUGUAAUUAUUAAUCUUCAACGAGGAAUUCCUAGUAGGUGCAAAUCAUCAGUUUGCAUCGAUUACGUCCCUGCCCUUUGUACACACCGCCCGUCGCUGCUACCGAUUGGUUGAUCUGGUGAAUUAUUCGGACUUCCGGCUGAAGGGGUUUCCUCAUCUGCCAGCGGAAAGUCUUGUUAACCCUAUCAACUAGAGGAAGCAGAAGUCGUAACA